rnacentral:rRNA from 1 species
GAGUAUGAUCAUACCAACACUAAUGCAGCGGAUCCUAUUAGAACUCCACAGUUAAGCGUGCUUGGGCAAGAGUAGUAUUAGAAUGGAUGACCUCCUGGGAAGUUCUCGUGUUGCACCCC